rnacentral:ribozyme from 1 species
GUCUCGGCCAACAACCCCGACGUCGCAUGGCUGCGUGAGUCGGAGCUCAAGCAUGGCCGCAUGGCCAUGCUCGCCAUUACCGGCGUGAUGGUUCAGUCGACGGGCUUCCAUCUCCCGGGCAACGCGGAGGUCU